GUGGCUGUAGCUCAGGGACAGAGCGCUUGCCUAGUACAUGGGAGGCACUGGGUUCCAUCCCCAGCACCACA
rnacentral:tRNA from 1 species